rnacentral:rRNA from 1 species
AGAGUUUGAUCCUGGCUCAGAACGAACGCUGGCGGCAGGCCUCAAACAUGCAAGUCUAGGGGAUGUAGCAAUACAUCACCGGCGGACGGGUGCGUAACACGUGGGAAUAUACCUUUCGGUACGGAACAACUGCGGGAAACUGCAGCUAAUACCGUAUACGUCCUUACGGAGAAAGAUUUAUCGCCGAAGGAUUAGCCCGCGUUCGAUUAGCUAGUUGGUGAGGUAACGGCUCACCAAGGCGACGAUCGAUAGCUGUUCUGAGAGGAAGAUCAGCCACACUGGGACUGAGACACGGCCCAGACUCCUACGGGAGGCAGCAGUUGGGAAUCUUGGACAAUGGGGGAAACCCUGAUCCAGCCAUGCCGCGUGAGUGAUGAAGGCCUUCGGGUUGUAAAGCUCUUUUACCCGGGAAGAUAAUGACUGUACCGGGAGAAUAAGCUCCGGCUAACUUCGUGCCAGCAGCCGCGGUAAUACGAAGGGGGCUAGCGUUGUUCGGAAUUACUGGGCGUAAAGCGUGCGCAGGCGGCUUCCCAAGUCAGUGGUGAAAGCCCGGAGCUCAACUCCGGAACUGCCAUUGAAACUGUGAAGCUCGAGGACGAGAGAGGUGAGUGGAAUUCCCAGUGUAGAGGUGAAAUUCGUAGAUAUUGGGAAGAACACCGGUGGCGAAGGCGGCUCACUGGCUCGUUUCUGACGCUCAUGCACGACAGCGUGGGGAUCAAACAGGAUUAGAUACCCUAGUAGUCC